AUGGGGCGCUAUGGGGUGGCUUUAUGGGAUGGUAGCUCUAUGGGGUCGCUUCAUGGGGUUUCCUGUGGCCCCAUAGCGCCUGGAGGGCCGCGCUUUGGGUUUGGGGUUGCGGCAUUUUGGGGCGGCGCUGCACGGGGCCGAGGAUCUGAAUGGGGACGGAAUGACGGACAUCGCCGUGGGGACGGACGGACGGGUCGUCAUCAUGAGAUCCCCUUCGAGCAGCACUGCGGCGCGGACGGGCUGUGUCAGCCGGAUUUGGAGCUGUCGGAGGUGGCGCCCCCUGGCGGCUGGGUUCAGCUCGGAGGACCGGCGGCUUCGUUCAGCGCCGCUUUCAGGCUGCGGAACCGCGCCGAGGACGCGCGGAGCGUCAGCGUCUGCAUCCGGCACCCCGGCGGCACGGCGCUGCGCAGGGCCAGGGCGGCCGCGGAGGGGGUGCGCGGCCCCACGUGGCCCCACAUGGCCCUACGGGGACCUAUGGCCAUAUACGGCCCCAAGGCUCCAUGUGGCCCUAUGUGGCCCCAUUGGAUCCCUAUGGCCCUAUGUGGACCUAUAUGGCCCCAUGGAAACCAUAUUGCCCUAUGGCCCUAUGUGGGUCUAUGGCCCCAUAAGGCCCUAUAUUGCCCUAUAUGCCCCUAUGACCCUAUAUUGCCCCAUAUGGCCCCAUCGGGAGCAUAUUGCCCUAUGGCCCUAUAUGGCUCUAUGACCCUAUAUGGCCCCACUGGAGCCUAUGGCCUCAUUGGUCCCAUGUCCUCAUAUGGCCCUAUAUGGCCCUACGUCCCUCUACGGCCCCAAUGUUCCCAUACGGCCCCAUUGUCCCCAUAUCCUCACUGUCCCCAUAUGACCUUAUAUGACCCCAUAUGGCCCCAUUUUCCCCCCCCAGGACUCAACCCCGGUGCCCAUCGACUGCCGGGAGCUGACAGUGGGGACAGACGUGGGGACAGACGUGGGGACAGACGUGGGGACAGACGUGGGGACAGACGUGGGG
rnacentral:lncRNA from 1 species